CCUGAGCCAAACCUAUCUCCGUUAAUAUGCGUUUUGAACCUUUCUAAGUCGGUCUAUGACGAAAAAAUUUUUUCGAUCAGCAAAAAAUUUUCUAAGUGACAAGCCUAGCUUUAUUUGACUCCGUAAGCUGGGCAACGGGCAAGCUAGUGUAAUUUAUAGUAAUCGAGACGGGCAAGGAUUGAUUUGCAUACGGCUCAGUGCUAUGAUAGCAAUGUGAAAAUGUGCUUUAAAAUUCCUCUGAGCCAAACCUAUCUCCGUUAAUAUGCGUUUUGAACCUUUCUAAGUCGGUCUAUGACGAAAAAAAUUUUUCGAUCAGCCAAAAAUUUUCUAAGUGACACUCCUAGCUUUAUUUGACUACGAAAUCCG